rnacentral:lncRNA from 1 species
UGCUUUUCAUAUAUAGUUAGAUGUAUGAUAAUGAAGUGAACCGCUUCAUAAAGGUCAAGAGCUUAACUCUUGAAUUCUCGUUAAAAAGAUAUGAGACACACAACCUUAUCAAAUGUGUCAUAUUUUUAUUAGAUCAAUGAGACCGAUAUUUCAUGUGUAUAUUUAUGCACACUUGUUGUAAUGAAUAGUUUGUUCAAAGUUUGUCUACUAAUGGUUUAAAUUGUAAGAUACUUUUGUAACAGCCCCUCUCUCACUACCUUAGAAAUAUUACAAGAUUAAGAUAGUAAUUAGAUUAUUAGAAUUUUCGUUAAGCAUUAUACAUUAUUUUGCAACUCCCUUCAAAAUCUGAAAAACCACUCUCCCUUUUUCUCUCUCUCUCUCGAUCAUGCCGAGAGAUUCAAACUCUUCCACCGCCUCUCUCCGGCAGCCAACCGAACCAAAACCUCAAUCAUCACCCAAUCCCUAACCGACCUAGGGUUGCAUCUUCAGCUCACCCUUUCAACCUCUCCACUGCAAUCCACCAAUCAGGUUGUCAUCAACCUCUUUCAGGUAAACAAAUUUCCUUUUCCAAUUAUUUCCUCACUGCUAACUCUUCCACCACCUUCGAUUUCCCAUUUGCAAUCCCCUGCAUUAGCUAUUUAUUUUUUACGUGUGUUUUGAUCCUUUUAAUGUAACUCACUCUCACUCGUUCUCCACCGCCGCAACACCGUAUCUGAGUCUAUCGCCUCCGCAUCAGCAUUUCCAUAGCCUCAUUCACUCUCGCAAUCUUCCUCACAUCGCACUAAGAAGUCGCUACAUGUACGUUUUUCCUUCUGUGUUCAGUUUCUAACAGUUUGUUCUAGGGUUUCUAUU